rnacentral:lncRNA from 1 species
CCAGAACCUAGUCCCCUUUAGAUGGGACCUGAGCUUUUCAGUAGCCACGGGGACACCCACCCCUUUCUCUCAGAAUCUUUGCAUAUAGGGCCUGGGGAGUCUGCAUUUUAAUAAGCUCCCCUUGAUGCUCACAGGUGCAGCAAACCACUAUGGCACACGUUUACCUAUGUAACAAACCUGCACAUCCUGCACAUGUACCCCAGAACCUAAGAUAAAUUUAAAAUAAAAAGCUCCCUCAUGACCCUGGCCCUCUCUACAGUUGAGAACCACUGUCCCACCCCUCACAUGCUUGUUAGUUUCCUCAGUGUCAUCCGGCUAUAAGCCUUGGGUCCCAUCCUAGAUACAGCUUCAGGGUCUAGCAGAUACACGCUGAAAUUCUCACGCCAUCACUUGCUAGUGAGGUGACCUUGGUUAGUUUUUCCUGCCUCGGGACUCCCUGUCUCUUUGAAAUGGGGACAUGGAUGUGCCGGCUGUUCUCUCUGUGCCCCUCCCUGCCCCCCAUAACAACUCUCCACCCUUCUCACCUAACUCUGUGCUUUGGGGAGCUGACCUGCACAGACUUGAUCACCAGGUUCCCUCAGCCUCUGGCUUGCUUUUGGGAUUGGCCGACGGACUCACUGGUGAGAUUAGAGGGCAGAAGAGAAGCCUGGAAUAGCCUAUUUCCAUAGCUCCUUCCUGCUGGAUGUGGUUUUAGGUCACGCUCUCUUCCUCGCUGACCUCAGCUCCUGUUGGGGUGGCUCCUCUCCCAUGGUCCAAGAACAAUAUUUUCUUUGGCCAAGAGUGGUAACAGCUCCCCACUUUUACUGGCCCUCAGGAAUUUCAAUAUCUCUUGGUGGUUCCUUUAGCCCUGUCCACACCUGUGUUUAUUAAACUCUCCUUAAUUAAACCCUUUGAGUGUGCCAACUGUCUCCUGCUGGGACCCUGAAUUAUACAACAAUAUCCUAGAGGCUUCAGAGAGGUCAUAUACAUGGCCUGGCACUUAGUGAAUGUUCGAUACACUUGUAGCUAUUGCCCUCAUUAUUACUACUAAUAUUCUUGUCAUUACUGUUAUCCCAACGUAACUAGAAUCAUAGGCUCUUGUAGUCGGAAAGAACCAAGGAAAUCAUUUCCUGUCUGAUGUUAGAAGAAUAGCACCUGGCCUGUGUUGGUUGAGUGAAUAGAUGAAUUUCUUCAGUUGGGGAUGUCUCUCCUUUCAUGCCUCCUGUUACAUGGCACUCCUUAACGGACAAGGUAGCUUCCUGUGUUACGGGAUGGCUUUGUUAAUUCUACCAGGAAGCUCAGCAAACAUAGGGCAGGUUAUUGAGUGCUUUGCUGUCCUUGGCACCCAAGGCAAGAGACACAGGAUUAUGACCUGUGAAUCAAAGACAAACGCUCACCAAAAUAAUCAACCCUCCCAGGAGCCUUGUACAGCCCAGGAGGAAGAUGCGGAUCCUUAACUCAGUCUGCAACCAGAAUCUUGACAGUCCUGAAAAUGGAAAAGCGUCUGGAGUUUUGGGUACUCCCAAUGCCCCAAUUAUCCUUUUAUUACCCUGAUUUACAACAUAACUUCAUAGGAGACGUUCUGAUGAGCAAAAUGACUUGGGUAACAAAAUGAUCUGGCAAAACCAGCAACUAAGAAAGAAAAAGAAUGGAUUUUCCAGUCUCUUUGACCCCUGAGAUCUCAAAGCCCCUGUGAAGAUCGAUCAGUUGGCAUGGCUGGAUUCAGACUUCCCAGGCCAAGAGGACUUGAAGAAAUGAUCAGAUGAAUCUCAGAAACUCAGAGUUUGAAUAAUAGUUGUCGGUUAUUGCACACUUGCUGUGUGCCAGGCAUGGUGCUCACUGCUGCCCAUGGAUCAUUUCACCUAAUUUCAUCUACCAGCCUGAUAUCUGCACAUGUGAGAACCUGAGACGUAGGGAGUUUGCACGGCUUUAGCUUUCGCAGAAGGAGUAACACAGGGUCAUACCAACUUACUCCAGUUACCAAUUCUGUGACCUCAGGCAAGGACACAAGAAGAUGGCUGUCUACAAGCCAGGAAAAGAUUCUGCACCAGGAACUGGAUCAACUGGCACCUUGAUCUUGGACUUCCCAGCCUCCAGAACUAUGAGAUGAGAAAUAAGUGUCUAUUGUUUAAGCCUCCCAGUCUAUGGUAUUUUGUUAUAGCAACCCAAGAUGACAAAGACAACAAGCCUAAAAUGAAAAAUGGCAAAGUAACCAAGAUGUCCUUCAAGAGGGCUGUUUGUUGUCCAAAAAGCCUUUUUCCCUAAGCUUGAAAGCUUAACUUCUCAGAAGCAGGAAGCUGCCUUUUGCCAAGAGUAAAUGGGUGAGAAGUCCAAAGGUCUUGGUUUUGAAGUAUGUGCAACGAAUGUUCAAACAGGUUCUGAACAGAGCCAAAUCUACUUUUCUAUCUCCAAGAAAUCUCGAGAGAGCCAUGGGGCGGAAGUUUCAAGGAACAACGUCUCGUCCCAAACCGCAUGAAAUUGCAUUCCAAUCAGAAGCAUGGCCAAACCCACCAGAACGCAAAACGCAGGGAUGGAAGGACACUGACGACGAUGACCUUGUGAAAUGAGAGAAUUGUCUUGAAAGGGAGCGUUGUUACGGAAGAUGCUGAUUUCGGCAUUCCCUGUCUGAAGUGCUAACUAACCUCAUUGGGUUUUUGCUCUGCACCAGGUACUGAUAUCUAUACUUUUCCUGUGUAUUCACUUACUUGAUACCUGAUGGAGGAGGUAUUUUUCAGAGGAGAAAACUGAGUCAUGGACAAAGUCAGUGACGUGCCCGAGAUCGUUCAUCUAAGAUGUUGCAGAGCUGGGACUUGAACCUAGUUUGUCUGCCUCUGGGAUCUGAGCUGGUAAACAUCACAUGGCACUUUGUGGCUCGUUUGUGACUGGUCCGUCCAUUGGUGGAAAAUGGUUAGAAGUCCUACUCUGUGCCCCUCUGUGUGCCAGUACUUGGAGAUACUUCCUCCAGAUACUUCCCCAUGAAACUUAAUCUGGUGGUGGAAGACAAACAUAAAACAAAUAAUUGAUUUGAGCUCUGAGAAGUGCCACAAAGGCAACGCACAGGUAUAAUGAUGGGGGAGGGAGGGGUGGCACUUGGUCUGGGAAGUAGGGGAAAACUGUCUCUGUAAGGGACAUUUUAUCUCAGACCGGAAGACUGUUGUUAUGGGUUCAAUUCCAUCCUCUUCUCCCCAGCAUUCAUUUGUCAAAGUCCUAGCCCCUAGACCUCAGAAUGUGACCUUAUUUGGAAAUAGUGUUGUUGCUGAUGUAAUUAGUUAAGAUGAGGUUAGAGUAGAGUAGGAUGGGCCCCUGCUAUAAUAUGACUGGUAUCUUUAUAAAAAGGGGAAAUUUAGAGACAGACACACACACACAGGGAGAAGGACAUGAGAACAGGAGGCAGAGAUGAGGCUGGUAUUUCCACAAGCCAAGGAGUGCCAAAAACUGCCAGCAAAUCACCUUCAAAAGGAGCAUGACAUCUUGAUCUUGGACUUUCACAUUCCAGAACUGUGUUUUUAUCCACUCCCAUUGUGGUACCUUGUCAUGGCAGCCCUAGCAAACGAAUGCAGAGGGGAAGGUGCCAGUCAGGUGAGGAGGGAGUGGAGAGUAGGAGAGAGGGAAAAAGAAACAAAACCCAGGAAGAAGAGCUAGCAUGUGCAAAAUCCCCAACGGAGGAAGGAGCGUGACACAUUUGGGAAGGUGGAACCAGGGAGAGGGGAGGGUGGAAGAUGAAGCAGGUGGAACCAGAUUCUGGCGUCUCUAAUACACAACGUGGCAUUUCUAUGAAGGACGAUGUGAAACCAGUGAAGGGUUUUAACCAAGGGGCAACCAUAAUUGGAUCUGAAUUUUAAUAUCAUUGUUCUGUUGCUGUGUGGAAACUGAAUUUUGGGGGUGGUAGGAAAGAAUAAAUGUAGAACAGUUUAGAACCUAUUGUGUUUGUGCCCAGGAGUUUCAGCCGAAUUCUUCAGAUUGGUUAUUCUUCCAAACAGGCCAUUUUCCUCAAGCCAUUUCCCUACUCAGUACUCAGACACAUUCAUUGUUUACAGUGUACCAGGCUCUGAAACUGUGCUAUCCAAUAUGGUAGCCACUGGCCACGUGUGGCUCAUUUAAAUUAAAAUUAAAGACCAGUUGCUCUGUCUCACUGAGACGUGCCUAUGUGCUCCCUAGCCACAUCAUUCACUGAAAGUUCUGUUAGACAGCUCUGGUCUAGGGAAACACAGAGGAACAGGGCAUCAUCCCGUCCUUGUUUUUAGAGCAGUGAAAGAACUCGAGACAACUGGAUUUCGUAGACCAGCAAGAACUUUUUUUGUUUUUAAGUAUACUUUAAGUUUUAGGGUACAUGUGCACAAUGUGCAGGUUUGUUACAUAUGUAUACAUGUGCCAUGUUGGUGUGCUGCACCCAUUAACUCGUCAUUUACAUUAGGUACAUCUCCUAAUGCUACCCCUCCCCCGUCCCCCCACCCCACAACAGGCCCCGGUGUGUGAUGUUCCCCUUCCUGUGUCCAUGUGUUCUCAUUGUUCAAUUCCCACCUAUGAGUGAGAACAUGCGGUGUUUGGUUUUUUGUCCUAGACCAGCAAGAACUUUUAUAAAUACACUGAGAAAAUGAAAAGGCAAUUCACAGAGCUGGAAAAAUAUCUGCACUGCCUAUGACUGGUACGGGGUUCUGUGAAUAAUAUUUUAAGAUCUCCCAAAAUCAGAAAAUGAGAGAACAGUUCAGUAGAAAAAUGCAAGAGACUUGAACAGGGAUUUUCCAAAGGGGAACAUCUGAAUGGUUAAUAAAUAGAUGAAAAGGUACUCAAUCCUAUCAGGAGUCAGAGAAAUGCCCAUUAAAGCUGCAAUAAGAUGCUACCCACACACACCAGAAUGGCUUAGAUGGAAAAGACGAACAAUAUCAGACUAAGGACAUGCACCAGAGUUUCUAGGAUUAAAAGACUAUCCAUACUAAGUGUUGGCAAGGAUGUGGAGUGACUCAAACUCUCACAAGUGUUGGUGAGAGUGUAAUUGGCACAACCUCUUUGGAAAGCAGUUUGGUGUUCUCCACUAAAGACAGGGCGGCUUUAUGAUUUAUUGUCCAAACAAGCUCAUUUUCAGGAAUGAAAGGGGGAAGUGUUCACUGAUUCCAUAGGCAUUGAUUGGGAGAGUCCUUGAACAUACAAUUAACCUAAUCAAAAUAGAUAUUCAUGUGUGUGAUCCAGCAAAUCCACACCUAGGUGUGUAUGUGCAUGUAUAUAUCCAACAGAAAUGUGUGCACAAGUGACAAAAUGUUCUCAGUGGCACUUUUGUAGCAGCUCCAAACUGGCAGCAACCAGAAUGCCCUUCAUGCAGUGCAAUACCGUGCAUCAUCAAAAAUGAAUUGAUCUGUGUGAAAUACGACAACAGGGAGGAAUGUUAGAAAUAUAUUGGGGCCAGGUACAGCGGCUCAUGCCUGUAAUUCCAGCACUGUGGGAGGCCGAGGUGGGCAGAUCGCUUGAGGCCAGGAGUUCGAGACUAGCCUGGGCAACAUGGAAAAACCCUGUCUCUACAAAAAAUACAAAAAUUAGCCACGUGUGGUGGCAUGCAUCUGUGGGCCCAGCUACUUAGGAGUCUGAGGUGGGAGGAUCACCUGAGCCUGGGAGGCAGAGGGUGCAAUGAGCCAAAAUCACAUCACUGCACUCCAGCCUGGGCAAUGGAGUGAGAUCCUGUCGAAAGAAAGAACGAAAGAAAGAAUGAACGAAGGAACGAAAGGAAGGAAGGAAGGAAGAAAGGAAGGAAGGAAGGAAAGGGGAAAGAAAGAAAAAAAAGAAAAGAAAAAUGUUGGACAGAAACACCCAUGUAUGAAAGAGUAUAUCACUUACAAUCCAUUUGGAAUAGAAAACUAAAGGCAGGACUUUGUGUUGGAAAUCAGGGUGGUGUUUUCCUUUGGGGAGGGGGAAGGGGAUGAUGAGAAGUGCUAGCAGAGGGGCUUCUGAGGUGCUGGCAGUAUUUUAUUUUUUGACCUAAAUUGUGGUUACACAGGUAUUCAUUUUGUGAUAGUUCAGCUGUACAGCUAUAUUUUGUGCUCUUUUCUGUAUAUGUGCUAUAUUUCACAAGUAAAAAUCAAUGCAAAGCUAUUAUCUGGGCUUGUCAUAGAGUUGUCAGGUUUUUAUUUCACCUAAUAAGUACAUCUAAUAGAAUAAUGGCUACCUUCCUUUAAAUUCAUCACUUCAUAGGAGAUAAAAAAUUCAACAUCAAAGCAGAAGGGAUAUAAUUUUAAAAUUAAGAACAGAGCUAUAAAAUAAAUUUCUCAUUUUGAAAAACUGACUAGACUGAUGAUGUAACUUUGAUCAUUUCACAGGGAGCCAGUGGAAACGUUUCCACAGACCCAUUUUUGGAAACCUUUGGUUUAGUGGGGUCCCAUCAUCAGUUAUACAAGGCUGCCAAAGUCUCUUCUUUGAAACUAAAGAGGUCUUUUAAAAUAAGCUAGGGAAGUGCAGCGAUUAAACAAGGUCUAGUAGGUUUCCUUGCUGCAGGACUUAUCAGAGCCUUUACCAUACAAAGAUGCACUGUGACUCUCUAGGAGAUGGAUAAAUAAUGGGGCAUUUCCCAACCUCAUUUGCUAACAGAACCAUGUUUCUGUUGAACCAUUUCUAGGGACACGUGGCCAAAGGGACAUACUUUGGGGACCCUAAGCCUAUAGCAGGGGUCAGCAAGCCAAGGUCUAUAGUCUGGAUGCCUGUUUUU